CCGCAGGCCCUUAAUCGUUUUUGUAGCCUUCUGCUGUAUCCUGCGACUGAAAGCACACAAAAAGUUUCCUCAGUUCAUAGAUGAGUGAUUGUGAGCCGUGCUCUGGGAUGAUCAACUCCAAAAUGCUAUAUCAGAGUCUGUGCCAAGUUAACAAGUGUCUGCUUCUGUGCAACUUAAAGCUGAAUCCAGACAAGUUAGCUGUUUUGGCCAGAAGGAUCUACUCUUCAGUAAAACAGCUUUCUGAAUAUGAUUUAACGGAGCAAACUACACAGGAAAGUGAAACUAAAGAGUUGCUUCACAGUACAGAAAACAAAACCUUUGGAAGAUUGCACAUACCAGUGAUGGUGGAGGAGGUCAUUAAUUUUUUAUCCCCUCAGUCAGGCCAGGUCCAAGUUGGAGAAGAAAUUGAAAAUCUGGAUGCUCAGAGGAUUCAUAAAAAAAACAUUCUUUGACCUUCAACAACAAGCUACCUUCUGCAACAGAAUUCUCAGGCUCAAUAUUCUGUCCUCAAGAAAAAGAGAAAUGCUUUUGCUUUAUCUGGAAUUGGCUUGUACAUAUAAAGACAUGACAGUUCCUAAUAAAUGCUAGCUGUCACGUAGUAUACUCAUAAUUGUAUCAGAAACAAUGAACUGGCUUGACAUUAACUUCACUAAGUCACUUCUGGGUCAGCUGUCUUGAAGAACAGCAGUUUUGAAGAGAACCUGCAGCAGCUUUCAGUGUAUGCAUUUCCGCUAGGCUCUCCUGACCGUAAGUUUAAGAAACAAAGUUUGAUGAAUUUUCAGAAGCCUGGGUAAAAUGUUGGUUUUGCAAAAUCAGGUGACUGACACUUCAAAGAAUAUAGAAGCGUUCUUAUUUUUCAGGACACAGGUAUAAAAAGUAAUUCAAAAAUGAAAGAAUAAUUUCUCAAAUAAUAAUCAGCCAGGAACACGCAGCAUUUUAUUUAAAUAACUAAUGUUGAGCUGAACAGCUUUUACCAGUGCCCUAGCAAAUUUUGAUUACAUCCCUGCUCACGGGAGAGGUCCCCUAAACCUGCCUGCUUGGGGCUGUGUGUGUAGCCCUGAUGGAGCAUAGCCCAGCAACAGGCAAGAUGGCAGCUUGGUGCAGCUGUUGGCUCUGCUGUAGAAGGCAAUUUUACAUCUCUCACUUCAUGUGAAUACCCUAUUUUUUUUUUUAUCAUUAUUACUUAUUUUUUAGCAGAUAUAGCUUAGAUUAAUUUCCAGCUCUUUUUUCAUUUUUCUUUUUUCCCUAGAUUACAAUAAAUAUAUGCCAUUGCUAUUCUAAAUUUAGUGUAGAAACACAGAAUGUUUUGUGUUGAAAGGGACCUUAAAUAUCCUUCAGUUCUACCCCCCUGCCAUGGACCAGGCUAUCACUCUCUAGAUGAGGCUGCUGAGGGCCCUACCCAGACCUUAAUGAACAAUGGCUGUGUUUAAAUCAGAAAUAAAAGUCUGAUAUGUGAUCAUGCAAUCUUUAUUUUAAUAAUAACUAUGCUUCUAAGGAGAUUAUUUAUCUCCAAAGCCCCUCGUAUAAGUAUGAAGUAUCCAUACUAUGCACUCUUAUACCAGAAGUGAUUUGGAAGCUGCAUUGCAAGUGUAAUUAUAAAAAUAAUCAGCCUAAAGUCAAUGUAAGUCACCAUGCUUUGCCCAUAACAUUACAUGCUUUAUGAAGAGACAUGUUACGUGAGAGAGCCCUUUUUUCAUCUCUGUCAUCUGCUUGUUGUGCAUCAGCAGCUCUGUUUAUGCCAUUCGUGUGUGUAGGUGGUAGGAGAGUUGUCACUGUAAUCGCAUUUGAGAGAGGCACAACGAUAUUUGCAUUUUUGCUCUCAAGAUCAUACAGCGAGGGAUGCCUGUCUUUGGAAAGUGUAUAGCAGGAGUGUCUGAUUCUCCCCAGAAGUGGGACAGCAGUGCUAAGGACAGAUUUGACUGUUGUGAACAUCCCAGCAGAACAGCAGAAUCCUCACGUGCAACCUGAAACACGUUUCAGCCUGCCAGAGUCCACAGGGAAGAUGGUAAAUUUGCCCUUGCUGCUGAGCUGCUGGGGUUUAGGGGGCUGAGGUAAGCAACAAAUUUCAGCCAACGACACCAUGAGAAUAACAGAGGCUGAAGAUUCCUCCUUUGUCAUAGGCUUUGUCCUGCUUUCUGAACAUCCAGUGGAGACCUGGUUUCACUGUUUCUUCGGAAGUCAGACACAACCCUUUCCUGCUUUGCUGGUACAACAACCUAUGCACAGCUCAGCCUUAGGCAAUAGGAAAACCUAAUUAGCUCUUUCUGUGAUACUUUGUAACUGAGAUCUUUCCUGUGCUCAUCUUUGAGACUACUCAAUAAUAUUUUAUUCCUAUUUAUCAGCAACAUGCUUGCUAAUGCAUUAUGGGGCACCAUUAAUUUCCAUAUACUCUAAGAUUAGUCAGUGUUUCCGUUAUGAAAUUAUCACUCAUCCUUACAAUUUGACUCCAAUGAGAAUAGUAGCUUUCAAUGUCAGAGCCCAGAGUGGUUUAAAUAAUGGAAUCGGGCUAUAAAAUCUGUUCAGUUUCCAGAUUACAUUUAAAUUUAUACAUUUAUUAAAGCAACAAUAUUAAAAGAGUUAAAAUUGUUUUUGUUUUUGUUUUUGUUUUCCAAAACACCUUUAGUUUUACUUGUAUCAAAGACUGUUCCUUUUGCACGUUUCUCUUUCCUCAAAUAAACUUGUUUCUGCACUGAGUUUUCUACAAGUAUUUUUUUCCAAAUUAAAUCUUGCAAGGAUACUUACA